AAGAUUUCUGGAAAAGGCUUUAAUAAUGCAAAGAACAAGGAUGAUGUUAUUUGUAGAUUCAAGUUCAGCGACACCGAAUUAUUUGAUGAAAAACCCACCUCUGUGGAAGAUACCACAAUAAUGUGCCCAGGAGUAAAGAUAGAGAAGCCAGACCAGGAAGUCUUCAUUGAAGUUAGCCUGAGCAAUGGCAUCAGUUUCAUCAACAAUGACGUUAGCAUCACCAGCAAGGACUGUGUGAGUGCCAGGGUGGGG